GAUGAAGAACGUAGGGAAAUGCGAUAAGUAAUGUGAAUUGCAGAAUUCAGUGAAUCAUCGAAUCUUUGAACGCACAUUGCGCCCUCUGGUAUUCCGGGGGGCAUGCCUGUUCGAGCGUCAUUAUAACCACUCAAGCUCUCGCUUGGUAUUGGGGUUCGCGGUUUCGCGGCCCCUAAAAUCAGUGGCGGUGCCUGUCGGCUCUACGCGUAGUAAUACUUCUCGCGAUUGAGUCCGAUAGGUCUACUUGCCAGUAACCCCCAAUUUUUACAGGUUGACCUCGGAUCAGGUAGGGAUACCCGCUGAACUUAAGCAUAUCAAUAAGCGGAGGA
rnacentral:misc_RNA from 1 species